rnacentral:rRNA from 1 species
UACGUAGGGUGCAAGCGUUGUCCGGAAUUAUUGGGCGUAAAGAGCUCGUAGGCGGUUUGUCGCGUCUGCUGUGAAAAACCCGAGGCUCAACCUCGGGCCUGCAGUGGGUACGGGCAGACUAGAGUGCGGUAGGGGAGAUUGGAAUUCCUGGUGUAGCGGUGGAAUGCGCAGAUAUCGGGAGGAACACCGGUGGCGAAGGCGGGUCUCUGGGCAAUAACUGACGCUGAGGAGCGAAAGCGUGGGGAGCGAACAGG